GAUGAACGCUGGCGGCGUGCUUAACACAUGCAAGUCGAACGGAAAGGCCCAAGCUUGCUUGGGUACUCGAGUGGCGAACGGGUGAGUAACACGUGGGUGAUCUGCCCUGCACUUCGGGAUAAGCCUGGGAAACUGGGUCUAAUACCGGAUAGGACCACUUCUUGGAUGUUGUGGUGGAAAGUUUUUUCGGUGUGGGAUGAGCUCGCGGCCUAUCAGCUUGUUGGUGGGGUAAUGGCCUACCAAGGCGUCGACGGGUAGCCGGCCUGAGAGGGUGUACGGCCACAUUGGGACUGAGAUACGGCCCAGACUCCUACGGGGGGCAGCAGUGGGGAAUAUUGCACAAUGGGCGCAAGCCUGAUGCAGCGACGCCGCGUGGGGGAUGACGGCCUUCGGGUUGUAAACUCCUUUCGCUAGGGACGAAGCGUUUUUGUGACGGUACCUGGAGAAGAAGCACCGGCUAACUACGUG
rnacentral:rRNA from 1 species